UGAAUACGAGAUGCUACGGCGUCGAAGCAGUCUAUGUCAUACUUCCAAGAAAAGCUUGCACUGUCAUAAACAAAUAAUGCCUGUACCAUAACCGACACAGGUGGGUAGGUAGAGUAUACUAAGGGGCGCGAGAUAACUCUCUCUAAGGAACUCGGCAAAAUGACUCCGUAACUUCGGGAGAAGGAGUGCCUUAUUUAUAAGGUUGCAAUAACAAGAUCCAAGCAACUGUUUACCAAAAACACAGGUCUCCGCUAAGUCGUAAGACGAUGUAUGGGGGCUGACGCCUGCCCAGUGCCAGAAGGUUAAAGAAGUUGGUUAGCAUCCGCGAAGCUGAUAACUGAAGCCCUGGUGAACGGCGGCCGUAACAAUAACGGUCCUAAGGUAGCGAAAUUCCUUGUCGGGUAAGUUCCGACCCGCACGAAAGGCGUAAUGAUUUGGAUACUGUCUCGGAGAGGGGCUCGGUGAAAUAGACUUGUCUGUGAAGAUGCGGACUACCUGCACCAGGACAGAAAGACCCUAUGAAGCUUUACUGUAACCUGAAAUUGAAAUUGGACUUUACUUGCGCAGUAUAGGUGGGAGGCGUUGAGAAUAUUCUUGCGGGAUUAUUGGAGCCAUCAGUGAGAUACCACUCUUGUAAUGUUAGAUUUCUAACUUUGUAUCAUUAUCUGGUCAAAGAACAGUUUCAGGCGGGCAGUUUGACUGGGGCGGUCGCCUCCUAAACGGUAACGGAGGCGCACAAAGGUUUCCUCUGAACGGGCAGAAAUCGUAUCUAGAGUGUAAAGGCAUAAGGAAGCUUGACUGUGAGACCUACAAGUCGAGCAGGGACGAAAGUCGGUCUUAGUGAUCUGACGGUGCUGAGUGGAAAGGCCGUCACUCAACGGAUAAAAGUUACUCUAGGGAUAACAGGCUGAUCUCCCCCAAGAGUUCACAUCGACGGGGAGGUUUGGCACCUCGAUGUCGGCUCAUCGCAUCCUGGGGCGGUAGUACGUCCCAAGGGUUGGGCUGUUCGCCCAUGAAAGCGGUACGCGAGCUGGGUUCAGAACGUCGUGAGACAAUUCGGUCCAUAUCCGGUGUAGGCGUUAGAAUAUUGAGAGGAGCCUUCUUUAGUACGAGAGGACCGAGAAGGACAUACCUCUGGUGUACCAGUUAUCGUGCCAACGGUAAACGCUGGGUAGCUAUGUGUGGAGUGGAUAACCGCUGGAAGCAUCUAAGUGGGAAGCCCACCUCAAGAUAAG
rnacentral:rRNA from 1 species